rnacentral:piRNA from 1 species
AUAUCUGGGAUUCAAUGCUGCUGUCUU